rnacentral:rRNA from 1 species
AUAUUAGGUUAAGCUAGAAAGAGCACACGGAGGAUGCCUAGGCGCUAGGAGCCGAAGAAGGACGUGGCGAACGACGAAAUGCCUCGGGGAGCCGUAAGCAGGCUUCGAUCCGGGGAUG